rnacentral:rRNA from 1 species
UACAGAGGGUGCGAGCGUUGUUCGGAAUUAUUGGGCGUAAAGGGCGCGUAGGCGGCGCCACAAGUCACUUGUGAAAACUCUGGGCUCAACUCAGAGCCUGCAAGCGAAACUGUGGUGCUGGAGUAUGGGAGAGGUGCGUGGAAUUCCCGGUGUAGCGGUGAAAUGCGUAGAUAUCUGGAGGAACACCGGUGGCGAAGGCGGCAUCCUGGACCAACACUGACACUGAUGAGCGAAAGCCAGGGGAGCAAACGGG